rnacentral:tRNA from 1 species
GGGGUUGUAGCUCAGCGGUAGAGCACUCACCUAGCACGUGAGAGGCACUGGGUUUGUUCCUCAGCACCA